rnacentral:rRNA from 1 species
UACGUAGGGUGCAAGCGUUGUCCGGAAUUAUUGGGCGUAAAGAGCUCGUAGGCGGUUUGUCGCGUCUGCUGUGAAAACCCGAGGCUCAACCUCGGGCCUGCAGUGGGUACGGGCAGACUAGAGUGCGGUAGGGGAGAUUGGAAUUCCCGGUGUAGCGGUGGAAUGCGCAGAUAUCAGGAGGAACACCGAUGGCGAAGGCAGCCAUCUGGACCGACACUGACGCUGAGGCGCGAAAAGCGUGGGGAGCAAACAGG